rnacentral:rRNA from 1 species
UACGUAGGGUGCAAGCGUUGUCCGGAAUUACUGGGCGUAAAGCGUGCGUAGGCGGUUUGUUAUGUCUGCUGUGAAAUCCCCGGGCUUAACCUGGGAAUGGCAGUGGAAACUGGCGGGCUUGAGUGCGGCAGAGGGGGGUGGAAUUCCGCGUGUAGCAGUGAAAUGCGUAGAGAUGCGGAGGAACACCGAUGGCGAAGGCAGCCCCCUGGGCUGACACUGACGCUGAGGCACGAAAGCGUGGGGAGCAAACAGG